rnacentral:rRNA from 1 species
GUCUACGGCCACACCACCCUGAACACGCCCGAUCUCGUCUGAUCUUGGAAGCUAAGCAGGGUCGGGCCUGGUUAGUACUUGGAUGGCAGAAAUACACACUUCAGUGACACUGGAGUGUAGUUU